GGGACAACCCGCCGAAAGGCGGGCUAAACCCGCGUACAUGCCACCGGGGCAUCCCGGAGGCAGGAAAGGCUUCGGCCGGACAGGGAUGGGCAUGCGGCGCAUUAGGCAGUAGGCGGGGUAACGGCCCACCUAACCGACGAUGCGUAGGGGUUCUGAGAGGAAGGUCCCCCACACUGGUACUGAGACACGGACCAGACUCCUACGGGAGGCAGCAGUGAGGAAUAUUGGUCAAUGGUCGGGAGACUGAACCAGCCAAGCCGCGUGAGGGAUGAAGGUACAGAGUAUCGUAAACCUCUUUUGUCAGGGAACAAAGGCGGGGACGUGUCCCCGGAUGAGUGUACCUGAAGAAAAAGCAUCGGCUAACUCCGUGCCAGCAGCCGCGGUAAUACGGAGGAUGCGAGCGUUAUCCGGAUUUAUUGGGUUUAAAGGGUGCGCAGGCGGUCUGUUAAGUCAGCGGUCAAAGCCCGGGGCUCAACCCCGGCCCGCCGUUGAAACUGGCAGUCUCGAGUUGGAGAGAAGUAUGCGGAAUGCGCGGUGUAGCGGUGAAAUGCAUAGAUAUCGCGCAGAACUCCGAUUGCGAAGGCAGCAUGCCGGCUCCACACUGACGCUGAGGCACGAAAGCGUGGGUAUCGAACAGGAGUAGAUACCCUGGUAGUCCACGCAGUAAAC
rnacentral:rRNA from 1 species